UAGCUCAGUCGGUAAAGAAUCUGCCUGUAGUGCAGGAGACCCAGGUUCGAUCCCUGG
rfam:TPA: Bos taurus chromosome 3, whole genome shotgun sequence.